rnacentral:rRNA from 1 species
UACGGAGGGAGCUAGCGUUAUUCGGAAUUACUGGGCGUAAAGCGCACGUAGGCGGCUUUGUAAGUUAGAGGUGAAAGCCUGGAGCUACAACUCCAGAAUUGCCUUUAAGACUGCAUCGCUUGAAUCCAGGAGAGGUGAGUGGAAUUCCGAGUGUAGAGGUGAAAUUCGUAGAUAUUACGGAAGAACACCAGUGGCGAAGGCGGCUCACUGGACUGGUAUUGACGCUGAGGUGCGAAAGCGUGGGGAGCAAACAGG